UUAUAAAAUUUUUAAUUUUAUUAUUUAUUUAUUUAUAAUAUAUGAUAGAAAUAACUUUUUUUAUAGUAUUUUUUAAAGAAUAAAUUUUUUUUAUUUAUAGCUUAUUUUACUGUGAAGGUUAAUUUUUUGUUGAAUUUUAAGUAAAAUUUAUUUUUUGUACCUUUUGUAUCAGGGUUUAUUAAUUUAUUCCUAUUUACAUAUAGAUUUCCCGAAUUUAAAAGAUUUAUUAAGAUUUGUUAUUUAAUGUUACAAAAUUAUUUAUAAAAUCUUAAUAGAUGUUAUAUGCUAUUCAUUUUUAAUUAUCUGGUUUCCUAUUAAAUGAAUUUAAUUCAUAAAUACUAAACUCCAACAGAUCAAUUUAUUUUGAAUGUAUUAUUUAGUAAUUAAAAAUUAAAGGGGAUAAGCUCUUUAGUUUUAUUAUAAAUCAUUAAAAAUUAAAAAAGUUAAUGUAGAAUUAGAAAUUUUCAUCAUUUAUUUUGUUAUAAUUAUACUUUUUAUAUUAUUUAUUUCAUUAUUGAUUUUAAUUUAAUAUUAGGAUAGUAUUAUUUAAUUUUUUAUUAUUAGUUAUAAUGAUAGAAUUAGUAAAUUAUUUAUUUAAUAUAUAGUAACUCGGCAAAUAUAUUCUUCACCUGUUUAACAAAAACAUGUCCUAAUGUUAUUUAUAUAUAUAUAUUAGGUCUGGCCUGCUCAAUGAUUGAUUUUCAAUUAAAUAGCCGCAGUAUUCUGACUGUGCGAAGGUAGCAUAAUCAUUUGUCUUUUAAUUGAGGGCUGGUAUGAAUGGUUUGAUGAGGGAAUAACUUUCUUUAUAUUAUAUAUUGAAUUUAAUUUUUAGGUUAAAAAGCUUAAAUAUUUAAGUGGGACGAGAAGACCCUAUAGAAUUUUAUUUCAAAGAUUUAUUUAAAGGAUUUAUUUAAUUUUUGGUUAUUAUUUAUUUUUUUUAUUUAAAUCUUAAAGAAAUUUUGUUGGGGUGAUGUUGAGAUUAUUAAAACUCUCAUAUUUUAUUUUUUAAAUAUAUUUAUUUUUAGGAUCCUUAUUUAUGGAUAUAUAGAUUAAAUUACCUUAGGGAUAACAGCGUAAUUUUUCUGGAGAGUUCUUAUCAAUGGAGGAGUUUGCGACCUCGAUGUUGGAUUAAAAUUAGAUUUAAGUGCAGAAGCUUAAUUUCUAGGUCUGUUCGACCUUUAAAAUUUUACAUGAUCUGAGUUCAGACCGGCGUAAGCCAGGUCGGUUUCUAUCUUUUUAAUAUUUACAUAUAAAUUAGUACGAAAGGACCAUUUAUAUCAAAUAAUUUGUUUUUAUUGAAUAAUUUUA
rnacentral:rRNA from 1 species